AACUCUGAGACUAAAAAGCAAAGUUAAAAAUGACUGAAAAGGAGUUCCCAUUGUGGGAAUGGAGCAAUAUCCAAGAACUGUGGGUUGACUACAAAAGGAGAAAAAAGAAAAUGGAGCAGAUGCAAUAUUUGAAGUCCUAAUGAUGGAGAAUUUCCCCCAAAUUAAUGUGAGAUCCUAAGCCAUGGAUCCAAAGUUCAGAGAACAGCUGGGAGAGUAAAUGCAAAACAAAACAAAACAAAAACCUCACACACAUUCAGAAAACAAUCAAAAAGACUAUACCUAGGUAAAUCACCUUCAAACUGAAGAAUUUAAAAGAUGAAGAAAAAGCUUGAAAGAAAGCAGAGUGAAAAAAAAUAUAUAAAGAGGUGCAAAGAUAAGAAUUAUAUCCAAGUUUUCCUCAGAAAACUGUGUGAAGAAGUAAAGACUUUCUCAGACAAAAAAAAAAAAAAUUGACAGAAUUUGCUGCCAGUGGGCUUGUCUUGUAGGAAAUGUUAAAGUAAGUUCUUCAGAGAGAAAGAGCAUGGUAUAAGUCAGAGGCUUAAAUUUACAUAAAGGAAGAACAUUAGAGAAAGAUAAAUAAAUGAAGGAAUUAGAGAAGAAUAAAUAAUUUAAAAAGGGAUUCCAUUAGAGAAGGAAUAAGUAAAUGAAGGUAAAAAACAUUCAAGAAUGAAAAAUACAUAUUACAUAUGGAGGAAUAUAAUAUGACAGCAGACUUCUUGAGAAUACCUUCAAGGGAUAUUUUUAAAGUGAGGGCGAGAGCAGUCAACCUAGAAUUCUAAACCUAAUGAAAACAUUAAAAGAUGAAGGUAAAGAAUUUCAGACAAAAGAAAGCUAAGAAAAUUCAUUGUUACCAGAUCUGCACUAGAAAGCAUGUUAAAGGAAGCUUUUCAGACUGAAAUGAAAUGAUUUCUGAUGGAAAUUUGAAACCACACGUGUGCAAAUACACCCACCCACUAAUGCAGAGCCCUGGAAAUGGUAAAUAUGUAAAUAAAUACAAAAGAAAUAUUUUUCUAAUUUUUACUACCUUGUAAAUAUAAUUGUUUAAAUCAAAAUUAGCAACAAGCAUGGUGGGGUUCAUAAUACAAGUGGUAGUAAAAUGUAUGGGAAUGAAGGAUAGGGACAGGGAAAUGGAAACACACUAUUGUUAAGAUUCUUUAACUGUAUGCAUAUUUGUAGUCUUAUGUGAAGGUAAACUGUAAUAAAUUGAAGAUAUAUAUGGUACAACUUAGAGAACGUACUCAAAAAUAUUCAAUCCAAAAGAUGAGAAAAGAAGGACAAAGUAAUGAAGAAUAAAUACGUUAAAUAAAAAACAAGCAGGAAUAUUAUAGAUAUAAACCCAGUUAUAUCGAUAAUUGCAUUAAAUAUAAAUGGUCUAAAUCAUCUCAGUUAAAAAACAGAUUAUAAAAUAUAAAAAUAAGGACCAGUAGUUCCCGUUGUGGUGCAGCAGAAACGAAUCUGACUAGGAACCAUGAGGUUGCAGGUUCAAUCCCUGGCCUCACUCAGUGGCUUAAGGAUCUGGCCUUGCCAAGAGCUGUGGUGUGGGUCGCAGACACGGCUCAGAUCUGGCAUUGCUGUGGCUGUGGCAUAACCUGGCAGCUGCAGCUCCAAUUCAACCCCUAGAUUGAGAACUUCCAUAUGCUGCAGGUGUGGCCCUAAAAAGCAGAAAAAAAGAAAAGAACCAAUUUGUUCUUAUUUCUUGUAACAAUGUACAAGAAACACACUUUCAGUAUAAAGGCAGAGAAAGGUUAAAAGUGAAAGAAGAGAAAAGAUAUCCCGUAUAAACACUAAUGAAAAGAAAGGUGGAAUGGCUAGGACAACAGGGAACUCCAUGUAUUGUAUACCCUUCUCCUUGAUAGUUGCUUCAUUUGCACCUAUUUUGGAGACCUCUUUUACUGAUCUCUAAUUUUUUGUGUUUGUUUAUAUGGCAUUGGAUCACUGUAACAGCAGUGUCAGAGCUGUGCUAAUUCCCCUCAUUUCCCCAAGGCAAGAAAUCCCUCCUGUUUACUUCAUUGUCCUGAGCACCCCCUCCCUGGCAGUGGCAGAGUUUAUCUGUUUAUCAUCAUUCCUGCCCAUCAGCACAUCAGAAAGAAAGGACUAGAACUUAUGUAGACACAUAUUGAAACACUGUGCACUUCUCUUUCUGAUAGGACUAACAGUAUCAGCACAUGCUUUUUCACCAUUUCCUCAGCAUUUCCAUUUCCUAUAGAGGAGGAAUCUGGUUUUUCAGUUUCCUCUGUUCAUUUGUUUCCUCUUCCUUGCUCUCCAAUGAUGUGACAGACAGUUUUAGAAGUAUUCUUUGGGCUUUAGAAAUGCAGAUUUGGGAGCAUGACAGGCAAGCUGUAAGGAGAAAUUUUGCUAGAGAAAUAGAAGGGGGGAAGAAAAUGGAAUAUAUAAGAGAAGUAGGAGAGAAAGUGGAAUUUUAAGAACUGAUCUUUUGAAAUGUAUAUUGCCUUCACGGUGUUUGAGAAAUUAUAAAGAAGUGUGUGAGAAUGGAAGGAGGGAAGGAAGGAAGGCAGGAGGGCUACCUUGAAAAUUUAGUUUUGGGUCUAUCUAAACUGAAGUUCUUUGAUUGUAAAUUGCUCUUGGAUGGUGUAUGGUCAGACCACCCAAUGGCUGUUCUGCUUUCUGUACCUUCCCUGCUGACUGAUCUCUGAUUCACCUGUACCCUAGUCACAUGACUGACUUCCAAGUCAUUGAGCCUAAUCAAUGUCUACAUACUUGCCCCAGCCCCAGCUAAUGAUUGUUCUGAUGAAAACUGUGUCUGCUCUAUCUGAUAGCUUAUCAAAGGGGUGGUGAGGGGCGUGUUCAUAGGCUGGUUUCCCUGGUAACCCAUGAACCAAGCUGACUGGUAACCUCCCUCCACACCUCCCGCCCUGGUUGUAAAGACUGCCACCAUAUCCUGCCCACUGUCUGCCACACAUGGUGGGGUGUUGCUCCAGGAUGUUUUUUCAAACAUGUAAGAUCUCCCUGUCCAUGUCUGUUUGUUGAUUCCAGGCUCUUUCUUCAUUCUUGAGGCUGGGCAAGUACAGGGCUUGCAGACCUGCAGGGUACAACUCAACAGAUGGACUACAAGAGUGACCUUCAGUAGUAAGACAGUUUUAAAUCUGCAUUCUCCAAAGCCCACACACCAUUAAGUAGAAGGUCAUAUGGGCCUGGAAAAAAACUGCUGAGAUACUGGCAAUUGCUCAGCUUCUUUGACUAGAAAGGAGAUAAAGAAAUGAAGUGAGGAGUUCCCACUGUAAUACAGUGGGUUAAGGAUCUAGGCAUUGCUGCAGCUGUGGUGUAGGUCAUAUCUGUGGCUUGGAUUUUAUCACUGGCAACCUCCAUAUGCUGGGGGUGCACCCAUAAAAUUUUUUUUUUUUAUUUUUAAAAAGAAGUGAACAGAUUCUGCAGCAUUCAGGGGGAAAAGAAUCACAGCUCUGAAAUUAGUAUCUUAGUCAUUGAGGUAGCUGCAUCCUAAUCAGAAAAUAUGGUUUAGGAGAGACUCUGAAUAAUCCUGCAUCUUGAAAAAAUGCUUUCUGAAAAGAAACAUAACCACAAAGCUGAAAAGAAACAUAACCACAAAGCUGAAUUUUCCAUGGGACAAACUGAUGAAGAGAAAACAGCAGGACAAAGCCAGUAUUGAAUAGAAGAAAUCAGCAAAAGGGAAUCUAGAGAGCUCACUAGACAGUAACGGUUCAAUAGCACAGUUUGAAAAGAAAUGCAAAUAACAAUGCUCAGAGCAUCACAGAGGAAAAUAAUGGCAAAACAGUGCUAAAAUGGAAGCCAGCGGAUAAGGCACUUUCAUAAACUGGCUGAGGAACUGUGACAUGGUAAACCUUUCUGGAAUGCAGUUUGGCAGUAUGUACCAGAAUUUAAAAUUUUAAAUGUAUAUUCCCUUGACAUGGCAAUUCUCUUUGUAGGAAUUUUCUCUGAGGAUAUAAAUAAACAAGUACAUAAAGAUAUAUGGGCAAGGAUUUUUAAAAGUCGUUUUUAUAUAAUAGCAAAAAAAAAAAAACCAUUGUGAAUAAUUGAAUUAUCCAUCAGUAGGGGCUUGGUUUAAUAAAUUAAUUACAUCCAUGCAGUGGAACAUUAUGCACUGUGCAGCUCUUAUAAGCAAGCCAGACUCUGGAGUCAGACUGUCUGAGUUUAAAUCUGGCCUUACCACUUGUACAAUUUUGAUCACAUCAUUUAAUAUCUCUGCCUAAAUUUGCUACGAUAUGAAAUGUUUUAAAAUCUCUAAAAUAACUUCAUAAUUUAUAACCUCUAUCAUGGAAAGUGUGACAAAGAUGGAAUAAAUUAAUGCAUCGAAAACUCAUGCACGUAAGUACUCAAUAAGUCUUAGAUAUUACUAUGCAAAUAUUAUAGAUGAUAAUAUCUGUCUAUAUUAACAUAAAAAUGAUUAUGUUGAGUCAAAGUUAUAGACUAGCUCAUAAUACAGGUUUAUGUUUAUAUAGAAUAAUUUAUGUUUGAAUGCAUGCAUAGAGUUCUGAAAAGAUGUUUGCUACAAUUUUAAUACUGGAUAUCUCCGACAGUGGUGUUUCAAAUUAUUUUUAUUUUUUUUCCUGAUUUUCUAAUUUGAUAUUUUUAAAUUAACAUAUAAUAUAAUAACUCCUGAAAUGGCCAUCUAGGAAAUUUAGAUAAGCUUUUCUCCUGGGAAAACAAAACUCCAGAUAAAAUAUGAAAAUCAUAAUUUUAAAGCCCUAAAAAUCCAACUAGAUAGUAAGGAAUUACAAGCCGAAAUCUUGGAAGAGGUUAAAUUGCUCACUCAAAGCAACUUUUAUUCUGAGGUCAUUUGUUGAUAUGUUAAGAAACAACUGCUAACUGAGCUGUAGUUCUGAGGAUUGCAUGAGCCAAGGGAAAGAGAAGUUAAAGCCCAGGUUUGCAGCUUGUGAUGAGAGUCUAAUACUCAUUCUCCCAUAUACCUACUAAGCUGGUACCCUGACUGGUUUUAUUCUCAGAGUAAGGGUGCACUAAAAGUAAUUCUGUCUUUAUUCUUUUUUUUUCUUUCCUUCCUUCUUUCUUUUCUUUUAGCUUUUUAGGGUCACACUCGUGGCAGGCUUGUGGAGGUUCCCGGGCUAGGGGUCGAAUCAGAGCUACAGAUGCUGGCCUAUGCCAUAGCCACAGCAGUGCAGGAUCCAAGCUGCAUCUGCUACCUACCAAUAGCUCACAGCAAUGCCAGAUCCUUCACCUACUGAGCGAGGCCAGGGAUCAAACCCACAACCUCAAGGUUCCUAGUCAGAUUCAUUUCCACUGCACUACAAUGGGAACGUCUCCUUCUUUCUUCCUUCCUCCCUCCCUUUUCUUUUUUCUUUUCUUUUCUUUUCUUUUCUUUUCUUUUCUUUUCUUUUCUUUUCCCUUCCUUCCUUCCUUUCUUUCUUUUCUCUCUCUCUCUCUUUCUUCCUUUCUUUCUUCCUCUUCCUCCCUCCCUCACUCCUCCAUCCUUUCCUUCCUUCCUUCUGGGAUUUUCAGCAUGGCUUAACAUCACCUGGGCAAUCAAAAACAAAACAAAACAAAACAAAAAAACUUAAAGCCCUGAACUUGGAUUAAGAUGGUCCCCAGCCUGGAGUUAAAAGCAAAAAACAAACAAACAAUCAAAAAACAUCUCUGAAAAGAAGGUGACUUCAUCUAAGUUGGCCUCACAUUAUUUUUAAAAACAUUUAAUUUUCAAACAUGAUGGCCAGCAUUCAUUCAAAAAUAAACAAACAUGGAGUUCCCGUCAUGGCGCAGUGGUUAACGAAUCCAACUAGGAACCAUGAGGUUGCGGGUUCGGUCCCUGCCCUUGCUCAGUGGGUUGGCAAUCUGGCAUUGCCGUGAGCUGUGGUGUAGGUUACAGACGCAGCUCGGAUCCCGAGUUGUUGUGGCUCUGGCAUAGGCUGGUGGCUACAGCUCCAAUUGGACCCCUAGCCUGGGAACCUCCCUAUGCCGCUGGAGCAGCCCAAGAAAUG
rnacentral:lncRNA from 1 species